GCCGCGGUAGCUCAAUUGGUAGAGCUUCGCUCGUGAAAUGCGAAGGUUGUGGGUUCGGUUCCCACCUGCGGCA
rnacentral:tRNA from 1 species